CAGGAUACAUCCCUCUCUACCACAAGCCAUUAUGCACCACAACUCUAUAUAAGCAGGCUUGUCUAUUUUUGUCUAUUUUUGUCCUUCCUUCAUUGGAGACGGAUCGCUCCCAGGCUCCUACCAUGAGGUUCCUUCUGCUCUUCUCUCUCGCUCUCCUGCUCAUCCCGGUUCUUGCAGACCCCGAGAAACUUUGCCAGAAGAUGAACGGCUUCUGCGUCGACAAACUUGCCCGUUGCCCCACUCCGCUCAAUGAGAUGCUUCCAUUCAAGUGUCGUGAAGGCCGAAAAUGCUGCAAGCGCCCGUAAAGCUUCAGGCCCCUGGGUUGCAGCAUGUUUUCGUUAGUCAACCUGAUUUCCUGAUGGCUGAUCUUUAUUUGGGGAAGCCAGUGAGGCUCUACCUACUUCAUGCCAAACAAGGCAUGGAUAAAUCCACAGGAUCUCAUCAUUAAAUGCAUGAUUUAAAAUGAAGAAUGGACGUCCUGUUCUUUUAAUGAGUUCAUUGGGCUAGAUCAAAAUAUUUUUCCACCUGAGGCAAAGGAUAAGAAAUUAUGUUGGAAAGAUAGCCCACAUUGGUUGUUGAAGAUGUUUUGGGCUGUUUGGCCAUGUUCUGGAGGUUGUUCUUCCUAACGUUUUGCCAGUUUCUGUGGCCAGCCUCUUCAGAGGAAAGGAGUUAGAACUCUGUAUGUGACCAGAGCCCCAAAAAAACUACAACAACCAUUGGAUCCUGGCUGUGAAAACCUUCAAAAAUACCUAUUUCCACUUUAGUUACACAAUGAUGAUGGAAGAACACUCUCCACCUUGUCUAAGACAGUAAAUUAGCUGGGGGUGAGGUGGGGUGAAGGGAACACAGUCGAGGAGGAACACAGGGGGACCUUCACCUACCUCUGGCAAGGAGGCACAGAGGUGUGGGCUGUUCUGUGUGCCGAUCUGUACAAUGCUGUAAUGCAACGGUUCCCGACUUUGGGUAAUGCUGUCAUUUUCUGGUAUUGCGGUAUUGUGGGGCACCUUUAUACUAAAGGGGAAAGAUUAGGAGGACCUGCUGAGCACACUUGUACAUUGCUGUCACAUG
rnacentral:lncRNA from 1 species